rnacentral:rRNA from 1 species
UACGGAGGGUGCAAGCAUUAAUCGGAAUUACUGGGCGUAAAGGGCGCGUAGGCGGUUGGAUAAGUCAUUUGUGAAAUUCCAGAGCUUAACUCUGGAGCUGCAGAUGAAACUAUCGAACUAGAAGUAAAGCGGAGAAAAUGGAAUUUCCCAUGUAGCGGUGAAAUGCGUGGAUAUGGGAAGGAACACCGGUGGCGAAAGCGAUUUUCUAGCUUUUACUUGACGCUGAGGCGCGAGAGCAAGGGGAGCAAAC